GAGGAGUUAAUGGGUGCAGCACACCAGCAUGGCACAUGUAUACAUAUGUAACUAACCUGCACAUUGUGCACAUGUACCCUAAAACUUAAAGUAUAAUAAUAAUAAAAAAAAGAAUAAAGCUGAAAAAACACACCUUUCAGACAAACAAAACAUUACUAGAUAAAGAUUUAAAAACCUAAUAGCAUUUACAACAUAAAACGUCCAAUAAUAAAUCUAACGAGAUACACACCAUCUCUACCCCCCCAAAAAACCCACAAAAAUCUGUUUAGAAAAAUAAAAGAAGACAUAAAUAAAUGGGAGGAUAAGCCAUGUUCAAGAACUAGAAGACUCAACAUAGUAAUAAUGUCAUUUCUCUGCCAAUGGAUCAAUUGUUUCUAUGAAAUCCCAAUAGAAAUCCUAGCAGGUUCCUUUGUAGAUGCUAAUAAUCUGAUUAUAUGGAAAUGCAAGGACCACAAAUAGCCAUUGUUGUUGAAAAGAACAAAGUUGCAAGACAGACUACUCAUUUAAGACUUAUGUAGCUACAGUGAUUAGGACAGGGUGAUAUCUAUACAAGAAUAGAGUACAACACCUGUGGAACAGACAUGAGAUUCCCAAACAGACCUGCAUGUUUAUGAAAUGUUUGAUUAAUGACAAACCUGGGUAAUAAUUCAUGUUAGGUUCCAUGCCAAUUGGAUAUCUAUUUGGGAAAAAUUUAUUUUGAACCUUAACUCAUAACCUGUAUAUAUAACAAAUCAACAAAAUUUGCAGGAAAUAAAAAAGGAGAGUAUAUCAACUGGAGCGGGACUUACCGUAGACGCAAAGAAGCAUAAUUGGGACACAGCCUGAGGAGAACAUUGUUUGUUCCGGUGCUGAGCCCAGAGGCGAUUAGGGUCCCCGUUUUGGGCUGAAUUGUGUUUCCUUAGAUUCACACACAGAAGCCCUAUCCCCCAGUACCUCAGAAUGUGACAGUCUCUGGAGGUGGGGCCUCUUGAGAGAUAACUGGGUCAAAAUGAAGAUGUGGGAGGGGGCUCUACUCCAAUGUGACUGUUGCCCUUAUUAGAAGAGGACAUUUGGACACACACAGAGACACCAGAUGGAGGCACAGAGAAAAGAACAUGUGGGAACACAGGGAGAAGGUGACCAGCUGCAAGCCAAGGAGAGAGGCCUUGGGAGAAACCAACCCUGCUGACACCUCGAUCUUGGACUUGUAGCCUCUAGAACUCUGAGGAGGUUCAGCAGCCUGAACGGGGGCUUGGCUCUGGCUCUCCAGUCCUCAUCCAUGAUGCCCCAGAACUCAACCUUCCAUCUGAGAGCUGAACUCGCUCCUCCAAUGUUCUCUGAAUAAUGGAAGUGUCAGAGCAGAGGGAUUCAAGGGUCCUGGCCAAGGAUCAGCUGCCCUAUCUGCCUUCACAUGUUCCUGAGGACCCAGAGACUCCAGGCUGCCCCCUGACCACUGGAGAUGGCUGCAAAGGGGGCGUCCUCUGGAAGAUGGUCAGCAGCCUCUAGAGGAAGCAGACAUCCUGGACGCUGACCUCCAGGGCCUAAUGCUCUGCCCCCUCUCCUGACCUGCACCUCGAGGGGGAUGUGUAGAGGGUCUGCUCUGGGAGUCUUGGCUGUGGCCCCCACCUACCCAAGAAAGCCAAUGCCCACGAUCAGCUCAGCUUCUGGGUGGCCCAUGGGGCACCAUUCGGUGUCCACUGACUGCAACCCCCUCCCCCCAACACCCGUCCUCUCUGUCCACCUCCCGGCAAACCUGUGGUGGAUUCAGCAGGUCUGAGUGAGACAGAGGUGGGCUGGGAGGCCGCAGGUGUGACCGUAAAUGGGCAGGGCAGCCAGACCACAGCACGCCUCAGCCAUCUGACUCCAGCCCCUCUUACAUACGUCCCCUCCAUCCUCAAACCACCCACAGCCCAUCGGUGCCAAACCAUGAGAGCCCCCACCUCAGGGCGUUGGGUGGUACAGGGCUCACCCGCUCCCAGGGGGCUCCACACCUGUCGGGGUUGGGGAGGAGGCUCCUGCCAGACAGAAGUAGCCGGGGGAGCAGGGGCCAGAGGGCGCAGCCAGGCCAGAGGCACCACAGAAAUGGCCAGGGGGACAGGACAGGCCCUCAGAGACCAUGGAGAGAAACAUUCUGGGGAGACAGAAAGAAACCCAGGAGAUGAGCCAGGGAGGGGAGCAGGCGGGAGGAAGGGGCUGUGGGACCAGGCCUCUCUGAAAGUGUGGACCCAGGCGCACCCUGGCAGGGACCACCUUUCCGCGAUUUCCUUUUCAUCUCUCCUCUCUCAGGCUCCCUGUGACUCCUGCCUACACUGGCUCCAGGUAGCAUUUCCGGCAGGUGCCUGAGGGAAAGUGUGGCAGGGCUCUUCUCUCUGUCUCUCUUUCCCCUCUGAGAUAUGCACCUGGUUAUAAUUCUUCUCUGUCUUAAUCCCAAUUCAAGCUCAGGCCGUCCAGGGCCACAGACCUCUGUGAUCUGGCAGCUACAAUCAGAACAUCUAACAGUGCCCCACACUACCCCCCGCCCUCCCCUGAGCCAUCAGCUCCACGACUGGCCCUUGCUUUGGGCUGUCUUCUCUUGGGAGCUGGGAGGGUCCUAAAGAUGAGGAGAUGGGUCUGGUCUCAAAAGAGAUAUCGGCAGACACAAAUUCUUAAUGGCUUUGCUUUCUUGAGUAUGACGUGUUCUCAAGCCCCUCAAAGCCCGCAUGGCCUGCCCUCGAUCUGGCCCCUCCAACCGACACUCCCCAAGGCUUUCUGCCCUCGCAGCCCAGGUGGAAGUCCGGCUCUCCAAGCCUCACACUCUCCCAUGGCUGGGGGAUGUUGUUGGUCAGCUGUUAAGUGGAAAGGAGGACCGAGAGGAGGUCUGGGCUCAGCCCCUGGGACCAGGGCAGUGGCACUCAUACUCACUAACCUGAGAAGGUGCCCAUAGGGCAGGGCAGGGCCACCCCUGUGCCCACUGGACAGAAGUGACCUAGAGGGCAGGGCCCUCCCGCAGUCACAUGGAUGCCUUUAUUGGGAUGAGUGACCUCAGCUCUUGCCCAGAGAAUCAGAAGUGGCUGAGAUUGCAGAGCAGCCCUCCCUGGCCCCCAGUCAGGCUCUCGACCACCCCCAGCUCACACACCCCUGCAGUGGGACAUUUCCCAGAAUAAGGGAGCAGAGCUCGCGAGCUGGAGUGACAGUGCCCUCCACUGCCAGGGUGGCUCUCAAGCCCAGGGACGGCAGUGGGCCCUGAGAUGCGGCCCCUUCUGAAUUAAUUCUUGGCUAUCUGUGCCAGACCCUGCUUAGGAGCCCAAAGCUGGGGAGAAAGCAUGGGGGUUCCAGGACUUGCCCAUCCUGUGGAAAGGUGGGUGUGGUGCCUUCAGCCCCACUCUUGGUGUGGAGGGCACUGCAAGGCACUGAAGAGUUGGGGCUCCAGACCCCACUCAGGGAGCCUCCAGAUGAGUGUUCUAGAAACCUGCUUCCACUCCAGCUAAGCUUGUUUUCAUUUACAUAUUCAUUAUGUCAUCACUUAUGGUUUGCUCAAACCCUUUCUGAAUGAGAUGGACCUAAUUUAAUAAAAAUUACACUGACAAGUAC